CCUCAGACAUGCAAGUCGAACGCGAAAGUUCCCUUCGGGGAGCGAGUAGAGUGGCGCACGGGUGAGUAACACGUAGGUAAUUUGCCUUCGGGUGGGGAGUAACUCAGGGAAACUUGAGCUAAUACCGCAUAGUGCAGCGGCUCGACAUCGAGACAGUUGUUAAAGCGGGGGAUCUCGCAAGAGACCUCGCGCCUGAAGAGGAGCCUGCGGCAGAUUAGCUAGUUGGUAAGGUAAUGGCUUACCAAGGCAACGAUCUGUAACCGGCCUGAGAGGGCGGUCGGUCACACUGACACUGACAUACGGGUCAGACUCCUACGGGAGGCAGCAGUCGGGAAUUUUGGGCAAUGGGCGAAAGCCUGACCCAGCAACGCCGCGUGAAGGAUGAAAUUUUUCGGAACGUAAACUUCGCAAGAACGGGAAGAAUAAGUAGAAGCGAAUACCUUCUAUGAUGACGGUACCGUUUGUAAGCUCCGGCUAACUCCGUGCCAGCAGCCGCGGUAAUACGAAGGUGGCAAGCGUUAUUCGGAUUUACUGGGCGUACAGGGAGCGUAGGCGGUUCGGUAAGCCCUCUGUGAAAUCUCCAGGCUUAACCUGGAACAGUCGGAGGGGACUGCUGGGCUAGAGGACGGGAGAGGAGCGCGGAAUUCCCGGUGUAGCGGUGAAAUGCGUAGAGAUCGGGAGGAAGGCCGGUGGCGAAGGCGGCGCUCUGGAACGUUUCUGACGAUGAG
rnacentral:rRNA from 1 species